rnacentral:rRNA from 1 species
GUCGAGGGGCAGCAUUUUUAUAGCAAUAUAAAAGAUGGCGACCGGCGCACGGGUGCGUAACGCGUAUGUAACCUACCUUAAACAGGGGGAUAACACCGAGAAAUUGGUACUAAUACCCCAUAAUACUAUUAGAGGCAUCUCUGAUGGUUGAAAGUUCCGGCGGUUUAAGAUGGACAUGCGUUGUAUUAGUUAGUUGGUGAGGUAACGGCUCACCAAGACGACGAUACAUAGGGGGACUGAGAGGUUAACCCCCCACAUUGGUACUGAGACACGGACCAAACUCCUACGGGAGGCAGCAGUGAGGAAUAUUGGUCAAUGGACGCAAGUCUGAACCAGCCAUGCCGCGUGCAGGAUGACGGCUCUAUGAGUUGUAAACUGCUUUUGUACGAGGGUAAUAUCAGAUACGUGUAUCUGCUUGAAAGUAUCGUACGAAUAAGGAUCGGCUAACUCCGUGCCAGCAGCCGCGGUAAUACGGAGGAUCCAAGCGUUAUCCGGAUUUAUUGGGUUUAAAGGGUGCGUAGGCGGUUUUAUAAGUUAGAGGUGAAAAUUCGGGGCUCAACUCCGGACGUGCCUCUAAUACUGUAUGACUAGAGAAUAGAUGCGGUAGGCGGAAUGUAUGGUGUAGCGGUGAAAUGCGUAGAGAUCAUACAGAACACCGAUUGCGAAGGCAGCUUACCAAACUAUAUCUGACGUUGAGGCACGAAAGCGUGGGGAGCAAACAGGAUUAGAUACCCUGGUAGUCCACGCAGUAAACGAUGAUAGCUCGUUGUCGGCGAUACAUUGUCGGUGACUAAGAGAAAUCGUUAAGC